UACGUAGGGUGCAAGCGUUAAUCGGAAUUACUGGGCGUAAAGCGUGCGCAGGCGGAUCGCUAAGUCAGACGUGAAAUCCCCGGGCUUAACCUGGGAACUGCAUUUGUGACUGGCGGGCUAGAGUAUGGCAGAGGGGGGUAGAAUUCCACGUGUAGCAGUGAAAUGCGUAGAGAUGUGGAGGAAUACCGAUGGCGAAGGCAGCCCCCUGGGCCAAUACUGACGCUCAUGCACGAAAGCGUGGGGAGCAAACAGG
rnacentral:rRNA from 1 species